rnacentral:lncRNA from 1 species
GCUGAAUGUCAUGAAUGUGCUCAGGAAAUUAAUUACAGUUUUACCUUUCGACCGUAGACUUGAACGGACUGUAAAGGUCCUUUUGGUGGCAUUCUGCAAGAAAAAGAAGCUAUUCAUAGUAAAAAAUAUCUUUAUUCAACAAGUUUAACUUAUUGUUUAGAUUAAUUUGAAGAAAAUAGGUGAAAAUUAGGGGAUAAAAAAGGCAUGCUUCCAACCUGAAAGAUUACCGGAAGUGAAAAGAUCGAGCUAACGGAACCACGUGCUUAGACAAAUAUUACUCUCUAAAUUUUAUA